CGAGAAGCGUUUGAUCGAGUGUG
rnacentral:piRNA from 1 species